ensembl:lncRNA
CUACCCCUGGAAUUGUCCCAUCCCAGGGAUCAGCCCAUCCUUGGAAUUCUCCCAUUCUUGAAAUUGUUCACUCCUUGGAAUUGUCCAAUCCCUGGAAUUCUGUCCCUAGAAUUGGCCCAUCCCUGGAAUUCUCCUAUGUCUGGAAUUCUGUCCCUGGAAUUGUCCAAACCCUGGAAUUUUAUCACAGGAAUUGUCCCAUCCAUGGAAUUCUCCCAUGCUUGAAAUUGUUCACUCCUUGGAAUUGUUCAAUCCCUGGGAUUCUGUCCCUGGAAUUGUCCCAUCCAUGGAAUUGUCCAUUCCUUGGAAUUCUCCUAUCCCUGAAAUUCCACCCUUGCCAUUGUCCCAUCCAUGGAAUUCUCCUUUCUCUGGAAUUGCCCCCAAAUCCCUGGAAGUUUCCAAGGCCGGCUUGGAUCCGCCUGGAAUAUUUGGAUUGGCUGGAAUUUCAGGCUGGGAUUCAGGGACGGCAUUGAAGGAUCCCAAACCACUCCACAAUUCCAUCAAUUCUUCCCAAAUCCAACCCGAGACCCCAAAAUCCCUGGAAUUCCCAACACUGACCGAUCCCAUUCCCGUUUUUUUUUUCCCCCAGAGCAAAAGCACCUUGAACCCGGACGCCAAGGAAUUCGUUCCCGGAGUGAAAUACUGACCUGGGAAAUUCGGGAAUGGCCUGGCCAGAGACUGAAUCCCUGCUCCAGGGAAAAGUUGGGACAUGGGAAGGGCCCGGAGCGGCUCCAGCACCGGGAUCUGCUCCGGUUCCAAGUAUUUCUGCUUUUCCCCAAUUUUUUUUUUUGGUUUUUUUUCUGGUUUUUCCUCACUUUUUCUUGGCAGUUUUUGGCUUCCUUGGGAUUUGCGGUGACCCCGCCGGCGGGAAAAUCUUGGGGAAAAUCAUGGGAAAAAAUCUUGGGAAAAUCAUGGUAAGAUCAUGGAAAAAUCACAGGGAAAUAAUGGGAAAAUCAUGGGAAAAUGACAGGAAAAUCAUGGAAAAAUCUUGGGAAAAAAUAAUGGGAAAAUCUUGGGAAAAUAAUGGUAAGAUCAUGGAAAAAUCAUGGAAAAAUCUUGGGAAAAAAAAUGGAAAAAUAAUGAGAAAAGCACAGAAAAAUCAUGGAAAAAUCAUGGGGAAAAAAAAGGAAAAUCAUGGGAAAAUCAUGGGAAAAAAUCUUGGGAAAAUCAUGGUAAGAUCAUGGAAAAAAUCACAGGGAAAUAAUGGGAAAAUCAUGGGAAAAAUCAUGGAAAAUCACAGGAAAAUCAUGGAAAAAUCUUGGGCAAAAUAAUGGAAAAAUAGUGAGAAAAGCAUGGGAAAAUCAUGGGAAAAUGACAGGAAAAUAAUGGAAAAAUAAUGGAAAAAAAAAGGAAAAUCAUGGAAAAAUCCUUGGGAAAAUAAUGGUAAGAUAAUGGAAAAAUCACAGGAAAAUAAUGGGAAAAUCUUGGGAAAAAUCAUGGGAAAAUGACAGGAAAAUAAUGGAAAAAUCACAGGAAAAAACAUGGAAAAUCACGGGAAAAUAAUUGAAAAAUCUUGGGAAAAAUAAUGGAAAAAUAAUGAGAAAAGCACGGAAAAAUCAUGGGAAAAUGACAGGAAAAUAAUGGAAAAAUCAUGAAAAAAAAUGGGAAAAUCACAGGAAAAUCUUGGGAAAAACAAUGGAAAAAUAAUGAGAAAAUAAUGGGAAAUCAAUAAUGGGGAAAUAAUGGAAAAAUCAUGGAAAAAUCACAGCAAAAUAAUGGAGCAAAAUAAUGGAAAAAUCUUGGGAAAAAUAAUGGGAAAAAAAUACGAGAAAAGCAUGGAAAAAACAUGGAAAAAUCAUGGGAAAUCAAUAAUGGGAAAAUCAUGGAAAAAUCAUGGAAAACCAAUAAUGGGAAAAUCAGAUUUUCCUGCUUCCAGAGGAUUUUUAGGAUUGGGAGCUGCACUGGAUUUUCCCUGAUUUUUCCGGAGCGGAAUUUUCCCUGAUUUUUCCAGAAUGGGAUUUUCCCUGAGUUUUUCCAGAGUGGAAUUUUCCCUGAUUUUUCUGGAAUGGGAUUUUCCCUGAUUUUUUCCAGAGCGGAAUUUCCCCUGAUUUUUCUGGAAUGGGAUUUUCCCUGAUUUUUCCAGAAUGGAAUUUUCCCUGAUUUUUCCUGAAUGGGAUUUUCCCUGAUUUUUUCCAGAAUAGGAUUUUCCCUGAUUUUUCCGGAAUGGAAUUUUUCCAGAAUGUGAUUUUCCCUGAUUUUUCUGGAAUGGAAUUUUCCCUGAUUUUUCUGGAAUGGAAUUUUCCCUGAUUUUUCCAGAGCAGAAUUUUCCCU